UACGAGAGGCGCAAACGUUAUUCGGAAUUACUGGGCUUAAAGAGUUCGUAGGCGGCGCAGAAAGUAGGGUGUGAAAGCCCUAGGCUUAACCGAGGAAUUGCGCUCUAAACUACUGUGCUUGAGGGACCUAGAGGUGAGCGGAACCGAUGGUGGAGCGGUGAAAUGCGUUGAUAUCAUCAGGAACACCGGAGGCGAAGGCGGCUCACUGGGGGUCUUCUGACGCUGAGGAACGAAAGCCAGGGGAGCGAACGGG
rnacentral:rRNA from 1 species